UACGUAGGGUGCGAGCGUCGUCCGGAAUUAUUGGGCGUAAAGAGCUCGUAGGCGGUCUGUCGCGUCGAUCGUGAAAACUUGGGGCUUAACCCUGAGCUUGCGGUCGAUACGGGCAUGACUGGAGUUCGGCAGGGGAGACUGGAAUUCCUGGUGUAGCGGUGAAAUGCGCAGAUAUCAGGAGGAACACCGGUGGCGAAGGCGGGUCUCUGGGCCGAUACUGACGCUGAGGAGCGAAAGCGUGGGGAGCGAACAGG
rnacentral:rRNA from 1 species